rnacentral:rRNA from 1 species
UACGUAGGGGGCAAGCGUUGUCCGGAUUUAUUGGGCGUAAAGAGCGUGUAGGCGGCCUGAAAGGUCAGCUGUGAAAACUCGAGGCUUAACCUCGAGACGUCGGUUGAAACCAUCUGGCUAGAGUCCGGAAGAGGAGUGUGGAAUUCCCGGUGUAGCGGUGAAAUGCGCAGAUAUCAGGAGGAACACCGAUGGCGAAGGCAGUUCUCUGGGCCGUAACUGA